AGCGAACGUUAGCGGCGCGCCUAACACAUGCAAGUCGCACGAGAAAGGGCUUCGGCCCCGGUAAAGUGGCGCACGGGUGAGUAACACGUGGGUAAUCUUCCUCCGAGCGGGGGGAUAACAUUCCGAAAGGAGUGCUAAUACCGCAUAAGACCACGGAGUCGAAAGACACUGAGGUAAAAGCUGGCCUCUUCACGAAAGCUAGCACUUGGAGAUGAGCCCGNGGCCCAUCAGGCAGUGGCAGGGUAAUGGCCUACCAAACCUAAGACGGGUAGCUGGUCUGAGAGGAUGAUCAGCCACACU
rnacentral:rRNA from 1 species